rnacentral:rRNA from 1 species
UUGUUCCUACGGGACGCAGCAGUGGGGAAUAUUGCACAAUGGGCGCAAGCCUGAUGCAGCGACGCCGCGUGAGCGAAGAAGUAUUUCGGUAUGUAAAGCUCUAUCAGCAGGGAAGAAAAUGACGGUACCUGACUAAGAAGCUCCGGCUAAAUACGUGCCAGCAGCCGCGGUAAUACGUAUGGAGCAAGCGUUAUCCGGAAUUACUGGGUGUAAAGGGAGCGUAGACGGCGAUGCAAGUCUGAAGUGAAAGGCGGGGGCCCAACCCCCGGACUGCUUUGGAAACUGUAUAGCUGGAGUGCAGGGGG